CCUCCCACCUCCUCCUCCUCCUUCUUCUGUGCCCUAGGAGCCCCGCCGCCGCCCUGCUGCUACUCCUCCACUGGCCCGCCACUUCCUCCUCCCCGCCUUCCCAUCGCUCGCGUGCAGGCCAUUGUGGCCACGCGCUUCGCGGGCGAACCCGAUCUCCAACGCCUGCUCCGGGUUCACGCGGGACAGGCUCCCCUGCAUCCUCCUCCUCGCGGCCGAGGACGACGCCUCCGGAGUGAGCUGAGGGUGGGGGUCGGGUCAAGGCUGCUGUUGGCGGCCUGGAUGCAGGCGAUGGUGGCGGCCGACGGGGGUCUGGCGGGCGAGGGAAGGAGCAGCACCCGGCCAGCCGCCGCCGCACCUCCUCCACCCGGCCAGCCAUGGCGCUCGCAGAUCCGCCGGCCCUGUCGUCGCCGCUGCGCUCGCAGGUGAGCGGUGCCGAGAGCUGCCGUCGUGAGGAAACCGCGGGAGGACGAGCUCAACCCGGACAAGGUCGUUGUGGUCGUCGGCACCUCCUCCAUUUGGCCACGAGCCCCCGCCCCCGCGUCCAUCUCCACGCGUGUUGUGGCGACCCCGGGAGGAGCUCGAGCCGCAUCGGUGGUCCACGGAGCAUCUCCACGCGUGCAGCGGAGACCCCAGGAUGAGCUCGAGCCGCAGCGCUGGUCCACAGCGCCGGCGCCAUCGUCGGUGAGUCCCAGCAACCAUGUUGACAAGCUGGCAUCUCUUUGUUCUAUUCUAUUGACUUCUUGUGGCAUUAUGUAUGAAGCCCUUUAAGCACAAACCUUUCGACGCAAGGACUGUCAUGGGAUUUGGAGUGCUCAAUGGCAUCUUAAUUGGACUUCUCAACCAGAGUCUAGGUUUCAACUCUGUUGGUUUCUAUCAGAGCAAGUCGAGCGCAUUAGUUGGAUCCAGCUUCUUGAUAUUGCAGAGGACUCGUCAAAAGAUAUACAGGGUUCUCGGCUGGCUGCGAAGAUUUGACAAGAGGCACAAGUAAAAUAGAUCAUCUCUUGUGACUCUCAAGAUAUGUAUCCAGAGGGCAAGUCAGGUCUCGAAAUGCUGACUGAAUAUUCCAUGGCCUUUGUUUUUCUUGCUAGGUGGAUUACUACUUCCUUGGAUAUUUUCAGAAAAUAAAUGAAAUGUGCAGACCGACAACAUGGACGGCAGGUCUUGCGGCUCCCAGCGCCCUCAACCCCCCACUGACCCUCUCUCAAUUUUGAUCUCUCCUCUACUCUUCUGGGUGGCGGUGAGAGCGGGUGUGAAACAGUAGAGGCGGGAGAGGCGGCCAUAGGAAGUAUAUGAUAGGAAAAGAAUUGCUCUAUGGCAGUGCUUUGACUCGGUGACCAGAGACUGACUGAGUGUGCUUGCAGUUUGAGGUUGAUUUUUUCUGGUAUACAUAUAAUUGGAGGUAGGCGCCAUGGACGCCGCUCUUGUGCUCAUCAAGGUAUGCUGCUCCUUGUUCCAGUCCCAUGACAAGCAGCAGCAGUAGCAUCAUGGUUGGGUUGGAGCUACAGUGGCCAGCCACCGGGACGACACUGAUAGCCAAAGAAAGCUCCUUCCCCACCGCUGACAGCCAAAACCACUCUUGUGCUCAUCAAGGUCCCUUUCACCUCUCUAACCUCUGUGUUAAGUCUGUCUGGUUCUAGGCCGAUUCAGGUUUUUUGUUUUGUUUUUGCUUCCACUCUGUUUGAUUUAAGCGUGGUGGUCAGAUCCUCUUCAGAUGUCCAGUUGAGACACCUACCCAUUUCUUCUCUUUUUAUCUCUUGAGAGGAGAGGAUAGGAUGCUAACUAGCGAAGUACUAUACUACUACUACAUUUCAAACCAUAAUAAGGUCCUUCGGUAAAAACAAAACAAGAUUUGCAGCGUCGUAGUAGCAAAAUUCCAGCAUUCACUAGCCACACAAAAAAGUAUGUAUCCAGUGAUAAUAUAACGAGAUAGGAAUUCAAGGAUUAGUUUAUUAUUAACCUAUGUAGUGUAUGCACUGGUAGUUGAUGGAGUUUCAAGCAGCAAGCAUGGAGCACCUUCUUCUUUCUAUCAUGUCACUUACCUGAUAAUUUUGGUAAUUCUCUCCGUAAUGUCAUUCAUAUACCUGAUAAAGCCAAUUUCUUUGGGGCUCUCUGUCAUUCAUAUGUUCAGUGAUGCAAUCUGAAUUAUUAUGUAGAGGCUUGAGUUCCUUCCGUAGUUCUUUAUUUUACUUAAAUGAUCAUGAACCCUUUACUUAACAUAUGUCCUUUUGUACCUUAGCAAAGGGUCUCGCCACCGCGCGCAGUCCACCUCUCCCCGCAGGCAUGCCGGCCACCUCCCCACCUGACGCACAUCUUUCCCAUGGGGCCAUGGAACACGGCUGUGUCACUUGUAUUGAGCACACCAAUCUGCCUCGGUAGACGGCUGCUGAAGUUGACCCACAGGUUGGAGACAAAGAUAGUGUGACAAUUGACUGACCUUGACAUGUUUGAGAAUUAGGCAAUUGAUUGUGCCAUUUCUCUGCGCAUUGUCGUGUGAAAAAGUAUUGGGCUUGCAGUGAAAGAAGUUCCGGCCUUUUGAAGCAACAAUUGACAUGGCUGUACAUACAAGUUUCUUUCUUGGAUGUCUAUUAUCUGUUUUUCUGCUAGCUUUGAUUUCUCUUUUUGGUCAGUUGAAACGGUUAGUCUUGAUAGGUCGACCACUUAUAUUGUUUCGAAGGUUCAAUGAGCAUAUGGUAAAGAAAGGUAUCAAUAGAUUCACCAAUGUAGAUUACAAGAGUAAAGGUUUAUCUAAUGAGGCCUUGUCGCGGCGCUGCAAGUGUUGCCCCCCUCCUCCCCAAGGGCUAGGUGAAGGAGGGUGCAUGUGUGGUUCUUCUGCAGCUCGCAGCGAGGAUUCUUGUGUCCAACCUGCACAAGAAUGCCAAGAAGUCCUUCUCGAAGAUGAUUAAGGACAUGUACCUGCACUACAACGAGAGAUCUUGGCUGCUUUUUUGUGGCUUCCAAACUUGAAAUGUUUGUUUGGAAGUUAGUUUAGUUUUUUGUUGUGGAUUCACAGCUUCUCACAUGUACCGUCCUCUUAGACCUUUAGAUUUUCAAAGAAACUAAAUGAAGAUAUGGUGGUAUGGUCUCA